UACGGAGGAUGCGAGCGUUAUCCGGAUUUAUUGGGUUUAAAGGGCGCGUGGGCGGACUGUCAAGUCAGCGGUAAAAUUGAGAGGCUCAACCUCUUCCCGCCGUUGAAACUGGUGGUCUUGAGUGGAUGAGAAGUACGCGGAAUGCGUGGUGUAGCGGUGAAAUGCAUAGAUAUCACGCAGAACUCCGAUUGCGAAGGCAGCGUACCGGCAUCCAACUGACGCUGAGGCACGAAAGCGUGGGGAUCAAACAGG
rnacentral:rRNA from 1 species